GUGCUCACUUCGGCAGCAUAUAUACUAAAAUUGAAACCAGAGAAGAUUAGCAUGGCCCAUGUGCAAGGAUGACACAUAAAUUCGUGAAGCAUUCCAUAUUUUU